AUUGUAAGGAAUGUAUUUGAAGGUCACGUACCUGGGGAAGUAAACUUUGAUGUAUGUAAAUUAAGUUCGAAUGUAUUAUUAUUUAGUAUUAUUCAGCUUAAAGAAAUGGUAUCGUGGAGAACCGAGUUCGGGUUUCAAGUACCUGGAUUUGGGGUCGUCACAGGUUGGUAUCAAAGCCAUAAGCAUGAAUUUGCAAAGAGCCCCGAGCCUUUAUCUGGUGACAUCCCUUUAAGGGAAGGCACCGAAACCAGACUUUCCAUAGGGGACGCCGAGCGAGUCGGUGGCAAGUUUAUAGGUACCCUUGUGAGGUGCUAUGGUUGGAAGCACCAUGAGCGUCACAGGUUGGUAUCAAAGCUGUUGGUUAUGAAGCUUAGGUAGGAAUACCUGAGACUAAUAACCGCAAUGAUUAGGA
rnacentral:lncRNA from 1 species